CGAACGCUGGCGGCGUGCUAACACAUGCAAGUCGAACGCGAAAGGGACUUCGGUCCUGAGUAAAGUGGCGCACGGGUGAGUAACGCGUAGAUAACCUGUCUUCAUGUCUGGAAUAAUACGCCGAAAGGGGUACUAAUACCGGAUAUUCUUGCUUUUCAUAAGUUAUGCAAGCAAAGGUGGCCUCUGCAUAUGCUACUGCAUGAAGAGGGGUCUGCGUACCAUUAGCUAGUAGGUGGGGUAAUGGCCUACCUAGGCGACGAUGGUUAGCGGGUCUGAGAGGAUGAUCCGCCACACUGGCACUGGAACACGGGCCAGACUCCUACGGGAGGCAGCAGUGAGGAAUAUUGCGCAAUGGGGGAAACCCUGACGCAGCGACGCCGCGUGAGUUGAGGAAGGCCUUCGGGUCGUAAAGCUCUGUCAAGAGGAAAGAAGUGUACAAUGGCUAAUACCUGUUGUAUUUGACGGUACCUCUAAAGGAAGCACCGGCUAACUCCGUGCCAGCCGCCGC
rnacentral:rRNA from 1 species